UUCUCAGAACAGACAUUUUGUGAGCGAGGGGGGCGAGAGCAGAGGAGCAGUGAACUGAGAGUGUCUGAACUUGACACUCCACCUGCCAGCGUUUUCAGCUACACUGUAACAGAGCUGGCAGAUGGGACUUUUCCUGUCGUAGUCUCACCGGGCGCCGCAGAGUUGGGUGUGAGCCAGCUCCCCGGAAUCUACAAUUCAGAGGACAUCUCCUGGAGCAGGUUCUGUGAUCCCCGAGCCCUGUCCCCUAACUGGGAACACAGAAGGGUCUGUGCAGUGCCUGGAGAGGAGGGGAGGAGCUGUGAAAAGAUUUCUCUGGAGGGCACUGUGGCCAAGGGCGCAUUUCCGUCUUCGAGGAGUGUUGGGGGGAGGCCUCCUCCCCUCCAGCCUGAGGAGGGGCCUUCCCGGACUGCAGCAGGACAUCCCAGACUCCAUGGUGACGGCCUGCCCCCUGAGGCUCUGCCCAGCUCUUAGAGGACACCACUCUCCAGGGGCUGCCCCAAACCUGCUGAUGCUCUUCAGGGCCUGGGGAGGAGGCUGAAGAGGCAGUUCUGGGCCUGAACUUCCCUGAUUCUCCCUGUCACAGCGGUUCUCAGCUCUCUAUCUCUGCCCCACCGCCAUCCCCAAGCCAUCUGCAAGGUUCUACUCCCAUAACAAACUCAUCCUCAGGAAGAUCACCAGUCUGGUGCCUUCACACACCCACCUGUUCCCCAGGGGCCACUUCAGCCCGGCUCUGAGAUUUCACUGCAUACAACCCACGUCUACAUUUAAGGUUUCAAAGGAAACCAGAAAAAAGGGAUUUUGCCUGCAAUUUCUCCCUGUUCUCUGGAGUGACCCUAGUGCUUCCUGUGUGCUCUCUCCUCCCCCAUCCCUUGACAUGAUGGACCCUUUCCUCUUGGGAACUGAAAGAGAAGAAAAUCAUCCAUGACAAGUAGCAGCUGUCAAAUAGGAAGCUUCAUGCUCCGGGAAAAGCGAAAUCUCCCACCAUGCAAACUCAUGUACUACAGGUUCAAGUACACUUUUCUUCUGUAGGGAAAUUGGAAAGACUGAAAUGAGCUCACCCAUCAGUGUUACCUCCAGCCUUCCUUGCUCUGUGGUAUUCUACAACUCUGAAAGUUAUGGAAAAUGGAUAGUAAUACAAGUAAUUCUUGUCCAUGGAAAACAAAUGGGUUGGGAGGAAUGUGAGAUCACCCUGUGGCAUCUAUCUGCGAAUUCACUUCAGCACUGCUUAUCUGAAUAUAAGCGUGGACAGUGUUGAGUCUCCUCUGGAUGGGUCAUAUAACAUCCUCUUGUUUUCCUCAUUACUUAAUGAGCUGCAUAGAACAUUUCACAAGCGUUUGUUUUAUAUUUGUAUGAGAGUCCGAUUUUACAUUUUUAAAAGAAUAAUCACUUAACAUUAGUAACCUAUUGGAAAAAUAUCACCACAACCAUCAUCUUAUAUGCAAUGCAUCUUUUCAGUGGAAGCAAAUUCAUUUGCAUUUUCUUGGUGAAGGGAAUUUUUUUCAUUCCUCUGACUUAAGAGGAUGGAGUGGGGGGCUCUACCCCCUUCGGAUAGCAAAGAUCAACUAGGUACCCUGAAUCCUGUUGAGAAUUACUUUUUGGUCCUUAAAGAUUGGACAUUUCUCAUGAACAUGUUACUGCCCAACAGCCAAUCACAAGCUUGCCUCUCUAUGCUGGUAAUGCUAUUCUGCAGGACAUCCCCACGAUAGUUUGUAUGCGUGGCUGUGUGUGUGACAAGAGUUAGGAGAAGAAUGUGAACUUGCUGGUAAGAACUGUGACAAGACCCAUAGCAAACAGAACCUUUGUUUUCAAGGGGAAAGGGACAGUCUUUUCAACAAAUGGUGCUGGGAAAACUGGAUAUCCACAUGCAAGAGAAUGAAAUUGGGCCCUUACCUUACACUCCAUAGGAGAUUUAACUCAAAAUAGAUUGAAGACCUACACUUAAGAGCUAAAACUCUAAGACUCUUAGAAGAAAACAUAGGAGAAACCCAUUAUGAUACUGGAUUUGACAAUGAUUUGUGGGAUGUGACACCAAAAGCAUAGUCAACAAAAGACAAAAUCAAUUGGACUUCUUCAAAAUUAAAAACUUUGGUGCAGCAAAAGGAACUAUCAAGAUGGCAAAAAGCCAACCUAUAGAAUGGGAGAAACUAUUUGCAAGACAUAUAUAUCUGAUAGAAGAUUAAUAUCCAGCAUAUAUGAAGAACUCCUACAACUCAACAGCAAAACAACCAAUCCAAUUUUUAAAUGAGCAAAUAACUUGAGUAGACAUUUCUCUAAAGAAGACAUACGAAUGACCAAUGAGCACACGAAAAGAUCCCCGACCUCAUAAUCAUUAGGGAAAUACAAAUCAAAAACUCAGUGAGCUAUCACUUCCACCUAUUAGGAUGACUAUUUUCAGAAAAAGAAAAAAAAUGAAAGAAAGAGAAAAUAACAAGUGUUAGUGAGGAUAUAGAGAAACCCUCCUACAUUGUUGGUGGGAAUGUAGAAUGUUGUGACCUUUGUGAAAAGGAGGUUCCUCAAAAACUGAAACAUAGUAUUACCAUAUGAUGUAACAAUUCCACUCCCCGAAAGAAUGGAGAGCAGGAACUCAGAUACUUUUACAUCAAUGUUUGUAGCAGCACUAUUCACCAUAACCCAACAGAGGAAAUAGCCCAAAUGUCCAUUAACAGAUGAAUGGAUAUACAAAAUGUAGCAUACAUGCGAGGGAAUAUUAUUCAGCCCUUAAAAAGAAUGAAAUUCUGAUCAUACCACAACAUGGAUGAACCUUGAAAACAUCUUGCUAAGGGAAAAAAGCCAGACAUCAAAGGCUACACAUUGUAUGAUUCCAUGCAAACAAGGUGCCUAGGAUAGACAAAUUAAUAGAUGGAAAAAAGUAGAAGUUGCCAGAGGCUUGGGAGAGAGUGACAGGGAUUGAGUGUUUAAUAGGUACAAAGUUUCCGUCGGGUAUGAUAUUCUGGAGAUGGAUAGUAGUUACGGCUGUGCAACACUGCAAUUGAAUUGUCACUAAAUGUACACUUAAAAAUAAUUAGGGGCGUGUGGCUGGCUCGGUUGGUAGAACAUGUGAUUCUUGACUUCAGGAUCAUGAGAUCAAGACCCACAUUGGGUGUAAAGCUUACUAGAAU